rnacentral:rRNA from 1 species
AUUGAACGCUAGCGGCAGGCCUUACACAUGCCAGUCGAACGAGUGGCGGACGGGUGAGUAAUAUAUCGUAAACUGCCCAGUGGCGGGGGAUAACUACUCGAAACAGUAGCUAAUACCGCAUACCAUUGGCAGUGCCCAGAUGGUAUUAGCUAGUUGGUGGGGUAACGGCUCACCUAGGCGACGAUCCGUAGCUGGUUUGAGAGGAUGACCAGCAACACUGGAACUGAGACACGGUCCAGACGCCUACGGGAGGCAGCAGUGGGGAAUAUUGGACAAUGGGGGCAAGCCUGAUCCAGCCAUCCCGCGUGUAUGAAGAAGGCCUUCGGGUUGUAAAGUACUUUCAGCGAAGAAGCGUUAUUUGCAGAAGAAGCACCGGCUAACUCCGUGCCAGCAGCCGCGGUAAUUC